rnacentral:rRNA from 1 species
AGAGUUUGAUCAUGGCUCAGGAUGAACGCUGGCGGCAUGCCUAAGACAUGCAAGUCGUACGAGGCGGCCCACUGACUCAAAUAGAAAUUUUGAGAGCUUGCUCGAUGAAUGGAAAUUUGAUGACGUGGAUUUUCCGCCUAGUGGCAAACGGGUGAGUAACACGUGGGUUACCUACCUCCUAGAUGGGGAUACCAAUUGGAAACGAUUGUUAAUACCGAAUGUGAUCUAAGGAUUAAAGAAGCCCUUAAAGCUUCGCUAGGAGAUGGGCCUGCGGUGCAUUAGAUAGUUGGUGGGGUAAUGGCCUACCAAGUCGACGAUGCAUAGCUGAACUGAGAGGUUGAUCGGCCACACUGGGACUGAGACACGGCCCAGACUCCUACGGGAGACAGCAGUUAGGAAUAUUCGUCAAUGGGGGAAACCCUGAACGAGCAAUGCCGCGUGAACGAUGAAGGUCCUCUGGAUUGUAAAGUUCUGUUGUUUGGAAAGAAUUGUACCGAUAGGAAAUGAUCGGUGCUUGACGGUACCAUUCAAGAAAGCCACGGCUAACUACGUGCCAGCAGCCGCGGUAAUACGUAGGUGGCGAGCGUUAUCCGGAUUUAUUGGGCGUAAAGCGUCCGCAGCCGGUUUAUUAAGUAUAGAAUUAAAUUUCGGGGCUUAACCCCGUCUCGUUCUAUAAACUGAUAGGCUAGAGUGUGGUAGAGGCAAGUGGAAUUUCUAGUGUAGCGGUAGAAUGCGUAGAUAUUAGAAGGAACACCAGUGGCGAAGGCGACUUGCUGGGCCAUUACUGACGGUCAGGGACG